UGGUUUUGCGGUGGGGUGUUGCACACAUGGCCAAGAGACAGUCGUGGUUCUUCACAACUUCAUUUGGAUCACAGACAGUCAGAAUGAAGCGUGUUGUUGUGGUGUUUCUGCUGCCGCUCCUGGGCCUGUUGCAUGCUGGGCCGCUGCUCGAUGAGCCCGUCCUCCAGCCCCAGGAGAACUUUGAUGUGAACCGGGACGUGCUAUGCAGCUGCGGCCCACUCUCAUCGAAGACUUCAAGACUCUGGUGGCUGAGCAGGGAAUGAGUGAAGACACUAUAGUAAUCAAAAAGAACAAAGGUGAAUGUGUUCCAGGUGAGCAGGUCACACCAGAGCCACAGAUCCAGGUGAAGACCUCAGCACACACACCAUAAACUAAAACACUUACAUUUGAGCUAAAAGCUAA
rnacentral:lncRNA from 1 species